UAAAACCUAUUUAUAAUGGCGGCAUUUCAUCUUAUUAGAGGAACCUGUUCUUUAAUCGAUAAUCCACGUUCAAUUUCACUUAAAUCAAAAAUUUAUAUACCGCCAUCUAAAAAACUAAUAUAAUAAUAAUAUUUUCAAUAAAUAAAAUAAAAAGUUAGGUCAAGGUGUAAUUAAUAUUUAAGUAAACAAUGGGUUACGCUGAAAAAUAUUUAAGGACAUUUCUAUAAAAAUAGAAAUAGAAAAAG
rnacentral:rRNA from 1 species